GACGGAGGGGGCAAGCGUUGUUCGGAAUUACUGGGCGUAAAGGGCGCGCAGGCGGCUGCUCAAGUCAGGCGUGAAAGGCCUGGGCUCAACCCGGGAAUUGCGCUUGAGACUGGGCUGGCUUGAGUGCGGGAGAGGAUGGUGGAAUUCCCAGUGUAGAGGUGAAAUUCGUAGAUAUCGGGAGGAACACCGGUGGCGAAGGCGGCGAUCUGGGUCGAUACUGACGCUGAGGUGCGAAAGCGUGGGGAGCAAACAGG
rnacentral:rRNA from 1 species